CAAACAAUCAUUUUAUUUAUUCUAUGUUAAGGAGUUUUAAAUCUUCAAAAUUUUAAAUAAAUGAAUUUUUUCCUAUGUUAAAUAAUAGUAAUGAACGUGAAUUCUCAUCUCUAGACUCUGAUUCAGAAUAUUAUACCUAUCCAUUUCUCAAUGAUUAUUCUAAGAUUUAUCCUCAAUUUAUCAAUAAUUUUAUUAUUGGAAGAUAUGGUUAUGGCACCAUUUUAUUUCCUGACCUCUUAGAAUUAUUAAAUUUUAAAUUAGGUGCACAAGUUAAAAUAAAUCAUAGAUAUGUAGAAGUAGACACUUCCUUGAAUAAUUAUACACAUCUUGCAGGCAAGAAAGCACAUGUGUGUUUGCAUUCCAUUUGGCCUAAAGACAAGAAAAAUGGAUAUUUUAUUAAAGAUAUAUGGGAGUUAAACAAAUUAAAUUAUGAAUACAAAUUAAAAAGAGCCUGCCUUAAAAUGGGUGCAACAUAUGUGAGAUACCUACCAUAUACUGGAACCUUAAUAUUUCAAGUUCCUCAUUUUUCGCGUUACAAAUUAGAAGAUAGUGAUGAUGAAGAGAUAGAAGAAGUAUCCUACACUCAGCCAUUUCAAACCAAGCCCAAUUUAACAUCGGAUUCAUUCGCCAGACCUCCUUUACAUCGGUCGCGUAUCUCGAAUCAUCCCGAUGGAAACGGUAAUCUUUUCGAAGGCGAUAUUUCUUCUUUCAAAGAUUCUCCCUCCGAAUAUAAUUUCGGGAGAGAGGAAAAUAGCUAUCUAAUUAAACGGCAUAAAAAUGAAAUUAUUUCGCGUGGCAAGGGCUCUCGCUGGGUCUUGGGUGAAAAUAUGAAUUCAACCAAAAUCGACGUUCAACCUAAAAUUUCGCGUACUCCCAACCUAAUGUCUCCUUCACUCCUAUUCAACAACCUGGAAAAUUCUUUUACAAGAACAGUGUACUUUCCUAUUCAAAUGAAUGAUCGUAAUGACAAUAUUAUUAAAAUGGAUUCGAAUAAUGACAAUAUUAUUAAAAUGGAUUCAAAUAAUGAAAGAAUACAAGAUGGUUUCGAUGCUAACGAGAGAAAAAAAAGUGUUAGGUUCAGUGGCGAGAUAAUGAAUGAGAGUGGUAAUGAAGCAAAACUAUUAUUUAAUAUAAUACGUAAUGAUAAUAAUGAUUCCAAUGAAGUCCGUGAUUUAGUUGAUGAUACGUCUAUCAAUAUUAUAACAAAUUCCCUGCUUCCAGAUUAUUCCAUCUUUCAGUACGUCCCAUAUCCACUGCCCUCAUUUAUAUCUACCGAUGCUUAUAAUAUUAAUCCCAAUAGUCUUUGUCCAAGUUACAGAGGUUUCAGACCCAGCUGGGGUCCGGGUAACAUGUUGGUUUUGCCAGCUAUCGUUGUAAGGGGAAGGAAUGUCAAACAAAUGCGGCAGUCAUUGUUCAGCCCUCCCGUCAAAUCCUCGAUUAACGAAGUUAUGAUAUGUCAAUUAUCAUCUAAACUAGAUCAAGAUACGUUUGAUAGAUUGUCAUCGGUUUACGAAUCAAAUUUGCUUAACGUGUUCAAACAUUGUUGUCCAAUUAACGCCAACUAUCUCGCAAACCAAAGUUCAUCCAUGACUCUUUACCAAAUCUCAUCCGCCAAUCAACAAAAUCACGAAUCAAUCGAUAAGGAUGUCGAUAAAUUAUUAAUUAAUUUUACAGCCUCCGCUAAGGAUAUCGAUUUAGCUAUCGCUUCCUUCGAUACCAAUAACAAUGUUGAUAAAAAUGAUUUUUGCGAAUUCGGAAAAAUUUGGAAUCUCGUUAAAGCCUUAUGGGGUCAAGUGCCUGAUUAUAAUUCAAAUGCGAUUAAUUCAGAUUAUCAAUUGCAACAAGCUCGCAAAAUAGCCUUGAUUAAAUGGAUCAUCAAAUAUUCGCCUAAUACUAUGAUGCCACAUAAUUUAAAUCGCAGCUACGGUUCUGAAAAUUCUUCUCUAUUGAAAUCGUUUUUGCAGACGUUCAAUCUUGCCCAAUCAUGCGAAUCAUUAUGUUCGAAAAGGAAUUACAAGACAGCUCUCUUAAUGUCCCAAUCUCAGUCCCCCUCUUCCAACCUAUGCACUUUAAACGGGCCUCUCCGAGUGUAUCAACUGCUGACAAACACUCAUGAUCAAAAUUUAGCUGCAUACCAAGAAAAUAACUGUCUAGUUUGGGUGCAGACUUUGGCUAUGCAUCUACUUUUUCCUUCCAACAAAAAAGUUAAAUUAUUGGACCAUACUGAAGACUACAUUGAUCGCAAGGAGAUGAACAUGAAUGGUUAUACCAAUUAUGGAAGCUCUAUAGAGAGCUGUCUCAAACGAUACGAAGAUUCGAUUGGUUUAGCCCCCGGGACAUUGUUUACGCCGGAAAUAAUGGUAAAGCCGAAUUAUACGCCAUUCGUAAUCAUCUCUUCUAAAUGUCUUACCUCGAAUAUCGGGAAUAAUAUUCCCAUGAUGUCUAUGCCCAACGAAUGUGAUUCGGAAUCAACGUUGAGCCCCGUGUCCUAUCUGCAGAAUACUUUUCAUUUGUUGAGAUUUUUUUGCAGACCAUUCACUUACCCAUUAUCUCAGGCUUUGAGUCCUUACGGUUAUACAAUGUAUGGCGAUGUUGCGGGGGGAGACAACUGCGUAAGACAAUUUGGAUACCUUAAUAGUUUUAAGAUGGCAUUAUUUUUCACCUCUCGCAAUCUAUGGCCUCUAACCCUCGACCAAUCACGUCGCGCGGCGCUUUUAAUCGACAGAUUGAUAGUUCAAUCAGAACCACUCUUGACUAUUCCGUGGUUACGCUUGUGGUUACUCGCUUACAAUUGGUCAGUCAAUGGGACUAAUGAUACGGCGAAUCAAGAUCGAGAGGCACGUUUGAUCGAUCUUCGUGUUAGGGAGAAGACAAUCAAAGAUUUUUCUAAUCUUUCAUUCGUUUCUGAUCAUUUGCUAAUCGUCUGCAAAAAAGUUUUAUCUCAACACGCCGGCGAUAAAUUAAACGAAUUCCAUUGUUGCAUCAAACUGGGAGACCUUAAUUCCGCUCAUUCUUUAUUCAUUAAUGAUAUCGCGCCUAAUACCAUAUUAGAAGGACAUUUUAGAUCUUUAAAACUUUGCUUAAAUCAAUUGAACGAGGCAGAAGGGUCGAACAAUUUAGAAAAUUGGCGAUUCGGGGAAUCAGCAUAUCAAAGAUACCUCAAUAUUAUUUGCACCGAGCAGAUGGAUGAAGCUUCAAUACCUUUAGAUGAUCUAUUACAAAAAACGGAAAUAUUUUUGUCAUUAAUAAAGGAUUGCUGUAGUUUACCCAGCAUGACUAAUAGUCAAAAGAGACCAUAUCAUAUCGAAUAUCUUUAAUGUUACCUAAAUAUUUGAUUCUUUUGUUUUGUGGUGGAUUCUACAUCAAUGUCCAAUCAAUAGGAUAUAGCAUUUUGAACGUUUGCACUAUUGAUCGUCAGCCCCCUACACAAUGUGAAAGAUAUUCAGAAUAUACAAAUUUUUGGCAAAGAUGGUUGGUAGAUAAUAAAUACUCAAGAUAUUUCUCGAAUGUAAUGGCUUGCAACAAAUAUGUCGAUAGUAAUUUACACGUGGAUCUUAAUAACUUCAAAUGUUUCAUGCAUCCUAGUCUAGGAUUAUUAUAUGUUGUUCAUAUUCCGAAAGUGUUAGAGCAAAAUUUACAAUGGACAAUGUGCCAUAAUCAGGAAAUAGGCAUAGAAUGUUACAAUUUUGUUGAUCGAAAAUAUGGUGCAGUUCAAAGAGAUUUUUGUGAUAAUGAAAAUGUCCUAGUUUUUAAGCCACCACAUUCCUUUUAUAAAAUUCCGUUACAUAUAUCUGAUUGCAUAUGCAGAACUCGAUAGAAAAAAUGGAUACAAAUAAAUUAAUAUAGAAUUUCUCUAUUGCUUUAUAUUGAGUUUUUACAGCAUUUUAAAAUAAAAGCUCUAAAAUGUAUAUUUUUUACUAUUAAAACAAAC